rnacentral:misc_RNA from 1 species
GAAAUGCGAUAAGUAAUGUGAAUUGCAGAAUUCAGUGAAUCAUCGAAUCUUUGAACGCACCUUGCGCUCCUUGGUAUUCCUUGGAGCAUGCCUGUUUGAGUAUCAUGAAAUCUUCAAAGUAAAUCUUUUGUUAACUCAAUUGGUUUCUACUUUGGUAUUGGAGGUCUUUGCAGCUUCACACCUGCUCCUCUUUGUUCAUUAGCUGGAUCUCAGUGUUAUGCUUGGUUCCACUCGGCGUGAUAAGUUAUCUAUCGCUGAGGACACUGUAAAAGGUGGCCAAGGUAAAUGCAGAUGAACCGCUUCUAAUAGUCCAUUGACUUGGACAAUACUUUUAUGAUCUGAUCUCAAAUCAGUUAGGACUACCCGCUGAUCUUAAGC